GACACGAGGAGUGAAUUCGCCACCAAAUGCAUAGGCCUUGUCACCUACGAGAGUAAUUGCAUGUGAGCUUCUGGCUCCAGGACCAGCUCCAUUUUGAUCAAGCUGAAACACGCAGAGAACACAACCAUCAAUCUAAGGAUGUAACCUAACUAGAAGAUAUAUUAUUACAAGGUUACAGCCAAGCAAGCAGGUGAUUUAUUAAGAAAUGGUACCUGUGCAGCCUCAACUUCUGAUUCUUGCUUCUGGAUGUCAAAGGAGAGUGGUCGUAACAUACAAAUGAAAAAUAAAUCUGAUUUGCCAAAAAAUGAACGGUGGCUUUGUCUGUGGAUAAACAAUAAAAUGAGAUUAUGAAUGAAUCAGCCUUUAAGGGAACA